rnacentral:lncRNA from 10 species
GUCCCUCUUAACCACAGUGCGUGAAGGCCCUGCAGUUCCCCAGCUCGGCUAAAACAAAUAAAAGAUAAGCGUCUGCAUCAAUUUGGCAGACUUACAAGAAAAAAAGGCAUUCUUUCCAUUUUGGAAGAAGGCAUGUGGAAUUAGUACUAUGCAGUGGUGGUAUUUUGAAAUCUGGGUUCUAAUAAAAGCCCAACCACUUGCUGUGAGAACUCCAGCAUCUUAACCUCUCUAAGCCUCAGUAUCUCCAUCUAGAAAACAGAAACUCAUACUUACCUCAUCGGCUGAUUUGGUAAGUAGAGGCUAUCAUAGGAGUGCCUUUACCAUGAGAAAUUCUUACAAUACUGGUCUCUACUCUGAAUCAGUGCAAAAUACAGGAUGCCUGUUCACAUUCUCUGACUUGCAAAAUACAGGAUGCCUGUUCACAUUCUCUGACUUUUGUGUAGCCUUGGGAAACUGCAUCAUGAAUAUGUUUUAGGGGUCAGGCGCAGUGGCUCACGCCUGUAAUCCCAGCACUUUGGGAGGCCGAGGCAGGCGGAUCACAAGAUCAGGAGAUUGAGACUAUCCUGG